UACGGAGGGUGCAAACGUUGUUCGGAAUUACUGGGCGUAAAGCGCGUGUAGGCUGUGACGCAAGUCGGGUGUGAAAGCCCUGGGCUCAACCCAGGAAGUGCACCCGAAACUGCGUGACUAGAGUGUCGGAGAGGAAAGCGGAAUUCUGGGUGUAGAGGUGAAAUUCGUAGAUAUCCAGAGGAACACCAGUGGCGAAGGCGGCUUUCUGGACGACAACUGACGCUGAGACGCGAAAGCGUGGGGAGCAAACGGG
rnacentral:misc_RNA from 1 species